UUUUGCUUUGAUUCAAUUGAUAGUGUCCUGCUCCAUCUGCUAUGAGCACCUUGGCCGGAGACGGUCAGUUUCUCAAUAAGCUGCGGUAAUUUGACGUUCUUCGCAGAGGACAAAGAACAUAUGCCUUGCAUACAGACACGAGAGGAGGAAGUGGCUUCCCAAUCUGGUUUUCAGCUCAAAGUCCACAGUAAAAGCAGCACACCGUUAAGUUAAUCAUGAGUCAAAAGAAUGCGUGGCACUACAAACUUGCAAUUCUCUUCAAACGAGAAUUGCAAGUUCUCAAGCACGCAAACAUACUUUUCCCAUUGUUGUGCCGUGAUUUACAUCUUUUACCUUGAUGGUCACAUUGUCAAAACUGGUGGGGUUGGUCACGUCAAAGCAGACCAGAAUGAGAUGGGCCUGCUGGUACGAAAGCGGUCGCAGACGGUCGUAGUCCUCCUGGCCUGGAAGCACAAACGUAACGGCGAAUUGCCUAAAGGGUAUGCAAGCAAGCUCGGAAACCAGCAGACCACGCGCGGAGAUCGGAUGACUGGCAGGCAGGCCGGGAGCACAUGUUCGAACGUUACGUACUAUAGAUGCGGACGAAAACCACAUCCUGGCUUCGACUUCCUCUUUGCAAUGAUGUAAGGCCCUCUCUGUAUGACAAUUUACAACAGGCAGAUAAGAUGUCCACUCGUAUUGUCUUACAGAAAAUUGACUGAAGCUUUAUUGCCCAUUUGCCUUUACGGUGUGAAGCCGAUAAACCUUCACAUAAGGUCACCAAAAGGCGAUUCGUACAAAACAAUGACAGCGCUAAUCUCGUCUCGUUUCUCUUUCUGUUCUAUGUGUCUCUCAGGACGACCAACAUAACAGAAUCUAUGAGUGGGAAUGGUUAACUCAUUCCCUCCCAAAGACGUUUUUAAACGUCUUUUCAGACCGGAAUUGGCUGGUACUGAAUGAGUUAUAUCUAAGCAGGGUUAAAGUAGUUUUUAGUUUUUUUUACAUUACAGAGAGUUUUUCAUUUGUCUUGAAUUGUCUUUUUUUUAAUUCAGUUUUUCAAUUCGUUUUCAGUGCAAGUUUGUGAGUUUUAUUCAAUGUAUUAUUUUUGGGGAAAAUGCUUUUGUUUUAAUUUAGUAUUUUAUUUUCACAGUAAUACCAAAAAUAAUGUAUUACAAAAAAACCUCAUGUAGGGAAAAUAAUUGACAAAGGCAAAUCGAAGCAUAUUUUCACUAUAAUUAUAUUCAGUCUUAUAAAUGUUUCAAUUCUUCUUUUUUUUUUUAAGAUCUUGGCCUAAAAGAUUUCUUCUUUGACAAACCCUUCUUCAUUUUGGUAUGAUUCAGCUCAGAAAAGGUCACAGUGGAUGUAACUGAUCCUAUUACGCAAAUGAUGCUGUGACGCCAACUUUGACGCCACUUCUCUCCCUUAUAUGCGAUCGGACAACUAAUUCAUUGGCCGGCUAAUUUAAUCCAUCGAUAUUAGCAUUUACAUUUAUAAAAUGGAGGGCGGGGGAAUCAGCAGAUUUAUGAUACAUGGCUGCAGUUGGUUUUUAAAGUGCUGUAUGAAUAAAGUUGAGCUGAGUAAUGAAAGCCUUCUUGCUUAAAUGCUACCAUAUGUUGUGAAACGCUAUAGACAGGCUUCUAGAAAUUAGCAUCAACGUGAUAAUUAUGUACGAUAGGUGGAUAGUUUAACCCUUUCAGGGACAGCGGUUACUACAGUGGACAGGGUCGAGGUUAUGGUGCAUGAAAGGGUAAGAGCAACACAUGCAGACAUAAUUUAACAAUGCGUACAAUUAUAGAUUCUUUAUCCACCGCAAAGAAUGACUCAUAUUACUGCAUCUUACUUUGGAGUGACCAUCUCCAAUUAUUGUCUGUUAUUCUUGAGGUGGCCAAAAACAGAGUCAAAACUGUUGAAUUGAUUGUAAAUUCUAUUCAUGUCUUUACUGUAUGUUUUUGUAAUGUACAGUAUGACGCAGUGCUGUUUUCCAGGGAACGAAACCGUGUUCCAAAAUGUCUUGAAAAUGUCUUACCUGCUGUGUCACACACGGUGAGCUUCACUUCUUUUCCUCGAAGGACCACAGAGGUGGUAUAUUUUUCAAACACCGUGGGAGCAUAUUUCUAUUGAAAAUGGAGAACCAUUACUAUUGACAUCAUGAUCAGAUUUGGGGAUUUAAAUGCCCGUCAUGAGAUCAAAAUUGUCACUAUUUGUCAGUGACCAGAAAGGGCAAACGCGUUAAUGAGCCUCUUACCUCCGGAAAGUAAUCUUUGGCAUACACCAUGAGAAGAGAAGUUUUCCCACAGCCUCCAUCUCCCACAAUGACUAUCUUGAGUUCCUCGCCCUCCCCGCCGCUGCCGUUACAACCGCCGGCAUCUUUAUUUUGUGUCAUUCU